rnacentral:rRNA from 1 species
GAUGAACGCUGGCGGCGUGCCUAAUACAUGCAAGUCGAGCGAACAGACGAGAGUGCUUGCACUCUCUGACGUUAGCGGCGGACGGGUGAGUAACACGUGGGUAACCUACCUAUAAGACUGGGAUAACUUCGGGAAACCGGAGCUAAUACCGGAUAAUAUUUAGCUUCGCAUGAAGCAAUAGUGAAAGACGGUUCUGCUGUCACUUAUAGAUGGACCCGCGGUGUAUUAGCUAGUUGGUGAGGUAACGGCUCACCAAGGCAACGAUACAUAGCCGACCUGAGAGGGUGAUCGGCCACACGGGGACUGAGACACGGCCCAGACUCCUACGGGAGGCAGCAGUAGGGAAUCUUCCGCAAUGGACGAAAGUCUGACGGAGCAAUGCCGCGUGAGUGAAGAAGGUUUUCGGAUCGUAAAACUCUGUUGUAAGGGAAGAACAAGUACGUUAGUAACUGAACGUACCUUGACGGUACCUUACCAGAAAGCCACGGCUAACUACGUG